rnacentral:rRNA from 1 species
GUAGGUGGCAAGCGUUGUCCGGAAUUAUUGGGCGUAAAGCGCGCGCAGGCGGUCCUUUAAGUCUGAUGUGAAAGCCCACGGCUCAACCGUGGAGGGUCAUCGGAAACUGGGGGGACUUGAGUACAGAAGAGGAAAGCGGAAUUCCAAGUGUAGCGGUGAAAUGCGUAGAGAUUUGGAGGAACACCAGUGGCGAAGGCGGCUUCUGGUCUGUAACUGACGCUGAGGCGCGAAAGCGUGGGGAGCAAACAGGGAUUAGAUACCCUGGUAGUCCACGCCGUAAACGAUGAGUGCUAAGUGUUAGGGGUUUCCCGCCCCUUAGUGCUGCAGCUAACGCAUUAAGCACUCCGCUGGGGAUACGGCCGCAAGGCUG